CCGGAUCUUUAUUUUUUUUCCUUGAACGAUUUCUUUCCAAACUCCUUGUGUCGGUGGAAAAUUGUAUAAAUACGACCUUCCUUGCAUCAAUCGAACCAUACCACUCUACAUUCUCUCCUCGUAAACGCUCGGUUCGCUCCUGCAAAGCUUCGCCGGAGAUCUUUUCUUCUCGCCGGAACUUCUAGCGACGGCCACCCGCAAUUCUUCUGAUUUCGGUCGCAACCCAUAAGAAACCUCGGUAGCACUUUGGAAUUUUCUCCCAUCCUAUUUUUGUAGCUUGUUGAUUUCGCUUACACCCUAAGGUGGUAACAAUUGAUGAUGAUUUACAAGCUUUCUAUCACUUAGGAUCAUGGAACUUUUUGCCUUAGUUAAACUUUAAAACGAUCAU